UUCCGCCGUUCUAUAUAUAUAUACAUAAACUCAUUGCCGGAUUAAUAUAGAAACAAAUUAAUCUAGAAAUAAUUACAUAUUCUUUCUACUCUAUCUUUAGGCUUGAGAGUUGAGAUUUACAUACACAAAGCUAUGGCUAGCUUCUUCUCGACUGUUUUUUGCUGCAUUUCCUCACCACGAGUUUCCGAGGAAGAAGCUCCGAAGAAAGGUGCAAAACAAGUAGUUUCAAAAGCACGUGGAGCUCCGAUCCCAGUCUCUUACUUUCCUGUUGGCUCAAAUCUCUCCCGCUUAUGAUGGUUGAUUCUUCAAAUUCACUUGUCUACUCACUUGAUAUGAUUUUUCUGGACCAAGUUUGGCUAAAAACGGUGGUCGCGUUAGAUUAUAUAUUUAUAUGUUGUGAUGCUGGGAAUACAAGAGUGAUGUGGUUUAGAAGUCAAAGAAAAUGCAGAUGCGAGCUUAAUGGUUGAAAUUGAGUAGUCGGUUAGACCUCGGGAACUCCCCCUAUCCGGUUAUGCUACUGCCAAAAUCAAAGAGUAGAUCAUUAGUGUAACAUUAUAGUUGAACAUAAUAAUAGACUAAUUGUUCAUUCAUGUGUACUUGUAAAUCAUAGAAGCUGAAGCAAACACACCAAACAAUAACAUAAAAUAUCGAGUGAUGUGAUUUUUAGAAGUGGUUUUACUUUAUACCAAUUUGAAAAUGCAUUUAUAGUAAA